AAAGGGGCAUAGCUCAGUGGUAGAACAUUCGACUGCAGAUCGAGAGGUCCCCGGUUCAAUACCGGGAACCCCCUUUA
rnacentral:tRNA from 1 species